rnacentral:lncRNA from 10 species
GGACUGGCUGCUCAAACUCCACAAUUUAAUGAAAAAUCUCAGAUGAUGACUCAGAAAACCUCUAAUGAUCUGAGGAAUAUAUUAAGGGAUUCCAGAGUCAAAGGCUGAUCAUGGAGGGCAUUGAUGAGGGAAGACUUCAGCCAGAAAACAACCAACUAAAGAAAGAAAUAAAAAGAAAAGAAGAAAGGAAAGAAAGGAGAGAAAGAAAAGGAAAGAAGGAGAGAGAGAAGGAAGGAAGGAGAGAGAGAGAAAGGAAAGAAAAAAGAAGGAAAGAAGGAAGGGAAGGAAGGAAAGGAAGAAAGAAAAGCACAGCACUAUGGACCUAGUGCUUAAUUGUACCCAAGACUCUGUAUUAAGAGAGAACUCUGUAGGGUUCAGUCCCUCUUCUCAGAAUAUAUAGUUUAGGCUGGGCACGAUGGCUCACGCCUGUAAUCCCAGCAUUUUGGGAGGCCAAGGCAGGUGGAUCACUUGAGGUCAGCAGUACGGGACCAGCCUGGCCAACAUGGCGAAACCCUGUCUCCACUAAAAAUACAAAAAUUAGCCAGGCAUGGUGGUGCAUACCUGUAGUCCCAGCUAUUUGGGAGGCUAAGGCAGGAGAAUCACUUGAACGUUGGAGGCAGGGGCUGCAGUGAGCUGUGAUUGUGCCAGUGCACUUCAGCCUGGGCAACAGAGCAAGACUCUGUCUCAAAAAAAAAAAAA